UGGGGUGCAAACGUUGCUCGGAAUUAUUGGGCGUAAAGCGCGCGUAGGCGGUUAUUCAAGUCGGAUGUGAAAGCCCUCGGCUUAACUGAGGAAGUGCACCCGAAACUGAGUAGCUAGAGUACCAAAGAGGGUCGCGGAAUUCCCGGUGUAGAGGUGAAAUUCGUAGAUAUCGGGAGGAACACCGGUGGCGAAGGCGGCGACCUGGGUGGAUACUGACGCUGAGGCGCGAAAGCGUGGGGAGCAAACAGGAUUAGAUACCCUGGUAGUCCACGCCGUAAACGAUGGGUGCUAGAUGUUUCUGGUAUUGACCCCGGAGGCGUCGUAGCUAACGCGUUAAGCACCCCGCCUGGGGAGUACGGCCGCAAGGCUA
rnacentral:rRNA from 1 species